rnacentral:rRNA from 1 species
GGUCAAGCUACAAAGGGCUCACGGUGGAUACCUAGCACAC